UUAUAAAAACGAUGCUAUUUAGUUUUUGUUUCUUAGGAUAUCUUAUAGCAGAGAACUAUUCCCAAUUACUCCCUCCCAUCCUGUGGGACAUUGCUGUCAUCCACUUAACCUAUCUUUAUGCCAUAAUUACCUAAUACAUUGUUAUUUUUUAUUAUUACUUUACAGUUAUUUUUAAAUCAGUGAAGAAUAAAAAUAAAAGAUACUAUUUUAUUUUUAUUUUUGCCUUUUCCAAUGUACUUCCUUUUUUUAUAUAGACCCAAGUUUCUGACUAAGUUUUCCUUCUGCCUGAAGGAUUUCUUUGAACAUUUCUUGUGGAGCAGGUUUGUGGGUAAUGAAUUCCCUCAGUUUUGCUUUUCCAAGAAAGCCUCUAUAUCUCCUUCAUUUUAGAAGAAUAAUUUCACUAGAUCUGUGGUUUGGUGUUUGCCACUAAUUUUGGAAAGUUCUCAGCCAUUAUUACUCCAACCAUUUCUUCCACAUCGUGCUCUCUUUCUUCUCCUCCUGGUAUUCUGGUAUUCCAACUACAACUAUGGUUUAAACCACCAAAAAGGAAUAAAUGACAUGUUUUGGACUCUGUGUCAGCUUAGAAAUUGUAAGAAGAAAGUAAAGAUUUUGACAACGAACCCUUUUCUGAACUUCAAGAUUGAGGGUUUUUUUCUCCAUAAACAGCAACAAAAUAACCAUUGAAGUCUGUCAAAUACUCACUAUGCAACGCACUGUACAAGAUACUGUUGUUGACCAGUGGGAAAAAAGAGAUAAGGCUCCUAUUCUCAUAGAAUAAACAUUCUAGUGGAGGAAGACAUAAUACAAACACAUUCAAAAAAUGAGAAGAUG